rnacentral:rRNA from 1 species
UACAGAGGUCUCAAGCGUUGUUCGGAUUCAUUGGGCGUAAAGGGUGCGUAGGCGGCGCGGUAAGUCGGGUGUGAAAUCUCGGAGCUUAACUCCGAAACUGCAUUCGAUACUGCCGUGCUUGAGGACUGGAGAGGAGACUGGAAUUUACGGUGUAGCGGUGAAAUGCGUAGAUAUCGUAAGGAAGACCAGUGGCGAAGGCGGGUCUCGUGGACAGGUUCCUGACGCUGAGGCACGAAGGUCAGGGGAGCAAACGGG